AUGCCGUGUGGUUUGGUGGAUCGAUGUUGGCUUCUACGCCUGAGUUCAUCCAAGUCUGCCACUCUAAGAAGGACUACGAGGAAUAUGGACCCAGAAUCUGUCGCCACAACCCGGUCUUUGGCAUCAUGUCCUAGUGCUGAUCUUGCACCCCACUGUAAGCCUAGAUAUCAGUUCAAUCGAUUUAUCACCUCCCCGUACUACGCUUUGAUUGCCACUCCUCUUUGUAAAAGAAUAAUUCAAGCUUUGACAAGCUUAGAAUAGAAAGAACAAAGCUUUUUGUUUAUCAGUGAAAAUGUCAAAGCCAGGCACAAGGGUAUUAUGUGGAUUGGAUCUGGAGACUUGAGGCGUGUGCUUUGAUAGCAAGCACUGAAUGUUCAAUAUUCCAAAUGCAGCAUAAAAGAGGAAUUCAAGAAUUGCACAUCGACUGCAGGCUGCUCAGGUGAAGCCAUAAAGUGGGAACUGUUUACUUUGGAACACAUUGCAUUUUUUGUGUUCUGUUCAUAAUUUAAAGAAAUAGUUCAGCCUAAAAUGAAAAUUCUGUCAUGGUAUUUCAGAACCAAAUGACACAAGGAGAAAUUUAGCAGAAUGUUCAAACUGCUUUUUUCCAUACAAUGAAAGGAUGCAGUGACUGGUGGCUAUUAACCUCAAAAAAACAAACAAACAAAAAAAAAACUAACAUUAAAUUGAUUUUGUGAAUAAGGAUUUCAGUUUUGUUCUUUUCUUCAGUCAAAUCCAUACAAUGAAAGGAUGCAGUGACUGGUGGCUAUUAACCUCAAAAAAACAAACAAACAAAAAAAAAACUAACAUUAAAUUGAUUUUGUGAAUAAGGAUUUCAGUUUUGUUCUUUUCUUCAGUCAAAGCAAUCAUGUGACUUCAUGGCACAGCUGACUAAAAGAAAAAAAGGGGGGAUUCUGUAUCAUAAUCAUUGCAAUCAUAUAAUCAGAUUAGAUCACAUAAUUAGAUCUAGUUCAAAUAUUCAGUGUGUAUUGUUUAGAACUUUUUAGUAAGAUUGAGAAUUGUUUUGUUUUUUUAAUCAGGAUUAGUUGGGUCGAUUCAAAGUACAAAAUUUCACAAAAGCCUUUCGGUGUAGUAUAAGUAUGGAAUAGGAUUAGGGUCAAGCAAUAAUAAUAAAAAAAUAAAUAAAACCAUCUUGAGAUUAAAGUAAUUAUAAUCCAAGAUAAAACUUUUAUUUAGAAAAAUAGUCUUAAUAAAAUGCUGAGAAUAAACUCAUUAAAUUACAAGAAAAAAAGAUUAAACAAAAUGUUGAGAAUAAACUCGUAAAAAUUUAGCGGAAACGAGAAAGAAAAGUUGAAACAAAAUGUUGAGAAUAAACUCAUUACAUUUUGAGAACAGAGUCAUUGCGUUUCGAGAAAAAAAUCAAUGAUGAGAUUGACUAAGGUUUGAAUCCACUUUUGGCCGAUCUGAAUCUUCUUCCGUUUCUCAUCACAUAUCACACCGGAAAAGUGGAAAUCAAUUGUAAGGGGAUUUUUAUAUAAUUUUAUUUUGCUGUUUGCAUUCUUUAAAUCACAAAAGUAAUCCAACCUGACUGUUCAGUAGCCUACCUGUUGUUCUUCACUUAGCUAGUAGCCUAUCCAGGUAUUCUAGAACAAUCCAAUGUUGCUUUGAAAAACUGUCACAAAAGUAAGAUGGAUUACCUGAUCCUGGAAACUUUUGAACAACUGGCUCAAAGACUUGGAAUAUGGUCAUACGGAUAAUUGUUUUGAUACUAUUAUGGUGUGUUUUGUCCUUUUUGAGCUUAAUAGCCAUGGUCAUUAGCUAUAUUGAAAAACUUCUCCUUUUGUGUUACAUGAGAGAUAAACAUUUGAACGACUGUGGUUUCAGACACCACUACUAAUGGCUGUAAAAAAUUGUGCACUAUGUAAAGGUGUAAAGCCUGGGAACUUUCAGGAAGGUGUAUUUGGGGCUAGUUGGAGCUAAACUCUGCUGGACAUUGGCCCUUCAGGUGCAGGAUUGGACACUUGCUGCAAAGGUUCUUUCUGUGGUCUGUAUGCAUGUAGGUGCCUGAGUCUUUUGUAUUAGCCUUCACUGAAUGAAAAGUAGAAUGUUGAUAGAGUUUUCUAUAUUAUAUGAUGGUAUUAUUUACUAGUAAUUAGUUUAUUUGGGGCUAGUUGGAGCUAAACUCUGCUGGACAUUGGCCCUUCAGGUGCAGGAUUGGACACUUGCUGCAAAGGUUCUUUCUGUGGUCUGUAUGCAUGUAGGUGCCUGAGCUUUUGUAUUAGCCUUCACUGAAUGAAAAGUAGAAUGUUGAUAGAGUUUUCUAUAUUAUAUGAUGGAUUAUUUCAGAAUUAGUUUAUAUUUGUAUUAAAGUAAAAAUGGACUUGGGGCAGUCAGGUAACUAUUAAUUGGAAAAGUAUUUACCGUAUUCUUACUGAAGGUUAGGUAUAUAGCUGAUAUAAGAGGAAAUAUAUAUUAAAUUAUUUUUGUCUGAAAGAAAAUGUACUUUAUUUUAUGCCUCGUAUGCACACUAUUUACUGUAUGUAUGUUAUUUCAACACAUAGCAGUAAGAAGCACUAGUGUGAUAUCUUAGCAACCAUGUUUGCCAAGAAGAAAUCUGCUGUUUAAGGCUACUGUGAAUUAAAGCUCCUCUCUCUGAAAGUUUUCGUUGUCUCUAUCAAUCUUUUCUCCCUAUUUCAGUCUUCUAUCCUACCUUUGCAUCUGAUUUGGUUGCUCUACAGUUUGGCCAGGUUAUCUAUUACACAGGGCUGCACGAUUAUGACAAAAAUUAUAAUUGAAAUUGUAAUUGCGAUUAUCACAAUUUACAUGAUGUUUAUACAAUUGUUUGAUGCAACUGCAUGCCAUAUUUCUAUAUGAAAAUAAACAAGCUCAAAACACUCUUAUAAAAUACUUUUAUUGCUUUUCUAUAGUAUUAAGUCUCAAAUGUCAACUAUAAAUUGGAUUGGUUUCUUCUUUAAAUUAUAAAAAGUUAAAAUAUGAAUGGUUUUAUAAUGUUAUACAAAAUAGUAAAAUUAAAAUAAUAGGAAAAACCCUUAAGAAAACAUGUAGAAAGAAAAAAAUCUUAAGCACGCAGAAUAACAAGUGGACUUUGAACGAUUAAUUGCCACUUUGAAUGAUUAGGUAAUUGUGACAUCCAUAAUUAUAAUCGCGAUUAGAAAUUAGAUUAAUUGUCCAGCCCUACUAUUACAGUUUUACAAACUAAAUCUUUACUUGUCGGUUGUCACACAAUUUCUGAAACCUGACACUCAAACACCAGAAGCACACACCAGAUCUGCCAAACCAUACACUAAUUCUCGGCCUUUGACUCAGUUUUUAAUUUCAUAAAUCACUUUUUGCAAAACACGACACACAGUCCUCUAUGUAACAUACAAAACUCUAACAGGAAUUAAUAUUAUGGCAAAGGUGUUUGCAAAAGUUUGCUUUCGAGGCAUUUUGAAUUUUGUGUGCAAUUCUUGGAUUUGUGUGUAAAGUUUUGAAAAGUGUGUAAGCAGUUAAAAAAAAAAAACUGUUAAGAAAAUUAUUCUACCAAAUGCAAAUUGAACUCUUGAAAAUCAAUAAUGAGGUGGCUUUGAAAUAUUUUUUAACAGAUUAAAAAUAAGAAUAAUAAUAAAAAGCUGUGAAUAAAGAUCCCUAAACUCAACAUAAAGAAGCAUUUAGAAUAAAACACUCAUU
rnacentral:lncRNA from 1 species